rnacentral:miRNA from 1 species
AUUAGCAUCAUUUGACACCCUC